UUUCCGGGACGGUAGACGGGCUAAAGUCCGUCCUCUUUGAGACCGCAUUCGCCCUCUCGUUUUCCGUAAGGACUGAAAGAAGAGAUACAGAGCCCACCAAUUCACCAAAGAGGCAGAAGAUAUAGAGAGCCCGAAAUCAUUUGAAGCAAACUUCUUUUGUCUGCUACCAGCUGCAGAUUAAUCACAUCAAAGGACAACUUAUUGCUCCCUGGUUAAUUCGUCUAUUCCCACCAUCAAAAGGGUGCAGUGCAGUGAUUAGCCACACUUUUGAUUCCUGGUCCACGUAUUGCUCAGUUUCCACUAUCUUCUUUCAGAGUACAUUCUAAUUUCUGUAUGUUGUGUGGGACAACAACGAACUUUGAGCACAGAGUCUACACCAAAAGGAGUCGACAGGUGAAGCUUCAUCCAGUACUGGACUGACUGCUAAGUACUAAGCCCGAUAUCAUUUGACCACUCUAUCCCAAUCCUUUUCUCCAACUUCACUCGGCACCAUUUCUCAUUUCGCUACACCAUUCAACAAAGGAGCAGAUGAGAUAGAGAAGCUUUCAUCAACUUCUGGACUGACUUGUGAGCCCGAAAUCAUUCGAAGCAAAACUUGUUUUGUCUGCUACCGUAAGUUUCAUUUUGCUUCGACAUCACUGCAUUUUUAAUUUUCAAUUUUUUCAAUUUCAUGGCAUUUUGUUAAAUUCGUGUUAUAUGGUCUCUUAGCAAAAUAUUAUUGUUCUUUAUUAUUACUGUUAUUAUUAUUAAUAUUCUUUUAUAGACUCUGCAAUUAGUUUCCAGUUUCCAUUCAAGUUUGCAAGUGAAGGUUUGAGGUUGAGAAUGAGGUGAUCUAAACAAUUUUAGUUCAA